rnacentral:rRNA from 1 species
UGCGAGUCGAGCGAGAAAGCCCUCUUCGGAGGGUGAGUACAGCGGCAAACGGGUGAGUAACGCGUGGGUAAUCUACCUUUGAGUUGGGGAUAACACUCCUAACGGGGUGCUAAUACCGAAUGCGAGGCCGGAAUCUUGGUUUCGGUCUGAAAGAUGGCCUCUGCUUGCAUGCUGUCGCUCAAAGAUGAGCCCGCGUCCUAUUAGCUUGUUGGUGGGGUAACGGCCUACCAAGGCAACGAUGGGUAGCCGGCCUGAGAGGGUGAUCGGCCACACUGGCACUGAGACAAGGGCCAGUCCCCUACGGGGGCCAGCAGUCUAGAAAUUUGCACAAUCGCCGAAAGGCGGAUGCAGCGACGCCACGUGGAGGAUGAAGCCUUUCGGGGUGUAAACUCCUGUCAGAUGGGAAGAAGGCGCGGGUGUUAAUACCAUCUGUUGCUUGACGGUACCAUCAGAGGAAGCUCCGGCUAACUGCGUGCCAGCAGCCGCGGUAAUACGUGGGGAGCAAGCGUUGUUCGGAUUUACUGGGCGUAAAGAGCUCGUAGGCGGAUGUGUAAGUCGGAUGUGAAAUCCUCUGGCUCAACCAGAGAACUGCACCCGAAACUGCAUGUCUUGAGUUCAGCAGAGGGAAUCGGAAUCAGGUGUGUA